rnacentral:rRNA from 1 species
AGUGAACGCUGGCGGUAGGCCUAACACAUGCAAGUCGAACGGCAGCACAGUAAGAGCUUGCUCUUACGGGUGGCGAGUGGCGGACGGGUGAGGAAUACAUCGGAAUCUACUUUUUCGUGGGGGAUAACGUAGGGAAACUUACGCUAAUACCGCAUACGACCUACGGGUGAAAGCAGGGGAUCGUCGGACCUUGCGCGAUUGAAUGAGCCGAUGUCGGAUUAGCUAGUUGGCGGGGUAAAGGCCCACCAAGGCGACGAUCCGUAGCUGGUCUGAGAGGAUGAUCAGCCACACUGGAACUGGGACACGGUCAAGACUCCUGCGGGAGGCAGCAGUGUGGAAUAUUGGACAAUGGGCGCAAGCAUGAUCCAGCCAUACCGCGUGGGUGAAGAAGGCCUUCGGGUUGUAAAGCCCUUUUGUUGGGAAAGAAAAGCAGCAGGUUAAUACCCCGCUGUUCUGACGGUACCCAAAGAAUAAGCACCGGCUAACUUCGUG